rnacentral:rRNA from 1 species
UACGGAGGAUGCAAGCGUUAUGCGGAAUGAUUGGGCGUAAAGCGUCCGCAGGUGGCUAUGUAAGUCUGCUGUUAAAGAGUGAGGCUCAACCUCAUAAGAGCAGUGGAAACUACAUGGCUAGAGUGCGUUCGGGGCAGAGGGAAUUCCUGGUGUAGCGGUGAAAUGCGUAGAUAUCAGGAAGAACACCGGUGGCGAAAGCGCUCUGCUAGGCCGCAACUGACACUGAGGGACGAAAGCUAGGGGAGCGAAUGGG